rnacentral:rRNA from 1 species
UACGGAGGAUCCGAGCGUUAUCCGGAUUUAUUGGGUUUAAAGGGUGCGCAGGCGGGAGAUUAAGUCGGCGGUGAAAUUUUGCAGCUCAACUGUAAAAGUGCCUUCGAUACUGGCUUCCUUGAGUGUAGAUGAAGUAGGCGGAAUUUGUGGUGUAGCGGUGAAAUGCUUAGAUAUCACGAGGAACUCCGAUUGCGCAGGCAGCUUACUAAACUACUACUGACGCUCAGGCACGAAGGCGUGGGGAUCAAACAGGAUUAGAUACCCG